ACACCGGCAGCCCAAGUGGUGGCCAUUUUUAUUGGGCCUAAAGCGUUCGUAGCCGGCCUGAUAAGUCUCUGGUGAAAUCCCGCAGCUUAACUGUGGGAAUUGCUGGAGAUACUAUCAGGCUUGAGGUCGGGAGAGGUUAGAGGUACUCCCAGGGUAGGGGUGAAAUCCUAUAAUCCUGGGAGGAGCACCUGUGGCGAAGGCGUCCAGCUGGAACGGACCUGGCGGUGAGGGACGAAAGCCAGGGGCGCGAACCGGAUUAGAUACCCGGGUAGGUCUGGCCGUAAACGAUGUGGACUUGGUGUUGGGAUGGCUUCGAGCUGCCCCAGUGCCGAAGGGAAGCUGUUAAGUCCACCGCCUGGGAAGUACGGCCGCAAGGCUGAAACUCAAAUGAAUUGGCGGGG
rnacentral:rRNA from 1 species